CGCAGGGAAAGGAAAAUGUCGCGGCAUUCGUCGAGUAUUCGUCGAGUGAUGGUAGACUACAAUCAAAAAUUUCAACCACUACUUUAGUGACCUGAUAGGAACCGAUACAGAAGGUUGAUAGUUGUGGUGGCCGAAAUCUUAAAAAAGAAAUUAUACAGCCCCAUAAUUGAAACGGAAAACGAAAUUUAAUAUGUACAGAACACACUCUUAAGUUCAGAGGCUGAGUCGACUCCAGGGCCAUAGCAGACUGGAAGGAUUAGGUAUAUGGAAAAAUCUGAUGACCUCACUGGGUAUGAAACCCAUGACCUUCGGCUUGUAGUGUCUCAACAGACUAUGCUGCCGUGUGUGUCAGUUGGAGUGUGGUGAGACCCUGAAGAUGGAGGCAGUAUGUUCCUCUGAAAUGUUGGUAUCCAAUGAGACCAUGGUAUGACAGCCCAGGAAACCACAAUCUGAACACUUUCUGCUCUGCUGUACCAGCAGGUCAUUCAAAAAAUGGUUGACACUCACUCCAUAAUUCUGGAAAGGUAACAGUGUCAAAUGUGAGCUGAUAUAUGUGGGAAGACAUACUGUAGUGCUGCCUAUGGCCACGAGAUGACGUUGCUACUGUGCACAGGUCGAACAGUGCUGCGUCAUUCAUGGUGGUGUGCAGGUGCACUCGUGGACAACACUCAGACGUGUGUGGAGACAUGCCAACAGUUGCUGCAACUGUAUAGUGCGGAUCCGGCGGAGUUCUUUGAGCGUCUAGUCACCGUCGAUGAGUCAUGGUUCUGGCACGAGACUCCAGAAAAGAAACGCCAAUCCAUGGAGUGGAAGCAUGCUGGGAGCCCUCCUCCAAAGAAGUCACGAGUGUGACAAACUGUAUUAGCCUAAUGACUAUAGAUGUCGUUCAAAAAAUGGUUGACACUCACUCCAUAAUUCCGGAAAAGUGGCAGUGUCAAAUGCGAGCUGGUAUAUGUGGGAAGACAUACUAUAGUGCUGCCUAUGGCCACGAGAUGACGUUGCUACUGUGCACAGGUCGAACAGUGCUGCGUCAUUCAUGGUGGUGUGCAGGUGCACUCGUGGACAACACUCAGACGUGUGUGGAGACAUGCCAACAGUUGCUGCAGCUGUAUAGCGCAGGUCCGGUGGAGUUCUUUGAGUGUGUAGUUACUGUCGACGAGUCAUGAUUCUGGCACAAGACUCCAGAAAAGAAAUGCCAAUUCAUGUAGUGGAAGCACACUGGGAGCCCUCCUCCCAAGAAGUCACGACUGGGACUAUUUGUCCGGAAGCAAAUGGCGACUGUGUUCUGGGAUCGGGAGGGGAUCCUUCUGUUGGAUUGGCUGCCCCCCAAUAGAACCAUCGACAGUGAUCGGUACUGCAAUUCACUGCACCAACUCCGCAGACGUAUUCAGCAAUGCUGCCAUGGAAAAUGGGGGCACAUUGUCCCCUAAUAUGACAAUGCGCGGCCACUUGACAGCCGGCAGACCAUUGCCACCCUGGGUGCUCUAAGGUACACCAUGCUGCCUUAUCCACCAUACUUGCCUGAUCUUGCCCCUAGCAACUAUGCUCUAUUCGAUGCAAUGAAAGAUGUCAUGCAGGGUAAGAUGUUCACCUCCAGCGACAAGUUUCAGGCAGUUGUCCAGCAGUGGCACCAGGAUACCCCCAAACAGUGGUUUGCUAUGCAAAUACGGAAACUGCCGGAGCGAUGGCAAAGGUGCAUGGACAUUGAUGGGGAAUACCUGUAAUAUAAUCUGUAUGUAUUUUGUUCCAGUAAAUGGUUACUGCGAAG